rnacentral:rRNA from 1 species
GACGAACGCUGACGGUGUGCUUUAGACAUGCAAGUCGAACGCGAAAGCCCUUCGGGGUUAGUAGAGUGGCGAACGGGUGAGUAACACGUGGGCAAUCUGCCCCUCGCAGGGGGACAACCGGAGGAAACUCCGGCUAAUACCCCGUACGCUUGCGGAACCGCAUGGUACCGCAAGGAAAGGUAGCUUCGGCCAUCCGGCGAGGGAUGAGCCCGCGGUGCAUUAGCUAGUUGGUGGGGUAACGCCCACCAAGGCGACGAUGCAUAGCUGGUCUGAGAGGAUGAUCAGCCACACUGGGACUGAGACACGGCCCAGACUCCUACGGGAGGCAGCAGUCGGGAAUCUUGCGCAAUGGGCGAAAGCCUGACGCAGCAACACCGUGUGAGCGACGAAGGCCU